AACCUGCCCAAGAGAUCGGGAUAACACCUGGAAACAGAUGCUAAUACCGGAUAACAAUAGAUGAUGCCUAUCAACUGUUUAAAAGAUGGUUCUGCUAUCACUCUUGGAUGGACCUGCGGUGCAUUAGCUAGUUGGUAGGGUAACGGCCUACCAAGGCGAUGAUGCAUAGCCGAGUUGAGAGACUGAUCGGCCACAUUGGGACUGAGACACGGCCCAAACUCCUACGGGAGGCAGCAGC
rnacentral:rRNA from 1 species